rnacentral:rRNA from 1 species
UACAGAGGGUGCAGGCGUUAAUCGGAAUUACUGGGCGUAAAGCGUGCGCAGGCGGUCUGUUAAGAGAGAUGUGAAAUCCCCGGGCUUAACCUGGGAACUGCGUUUCUAACUGGCAGGCUAGAGUGUGGCAGAGGGGGGUGGAAUUCCACGUGUAGCAGUGAAAUGCGUAGAGAUGUGGAGGAACACCGAUGGCGAAGGCAGCCCCCUGGGCUAACACUGACGCUCAUGCACGAAAGCGUGGGGAGCAAACAGG